ensembl:lncRNA
UCUUCUUCGGGGAGACACAAAGGCAGAUUUUGUCCGCCCUCUAGUGUCUUUCCCAACUAAUUGCACACAAAUAUUAAUCGAUGGGAGGUUAGAUCUUGCAUAUCAAUCUCACACGACAAAUCGAUCGUCCUCAAAGUUGAUAAAGGUACAAUAGUAGACAAUAACGGAUGGACAUUUUUAUCCAAAUUUGGGUCACAUCGAUUCUCACAUAAAUCUAGUCACACUUAAACUAUACUAAACUAAACAAUGUUCUCCAUUUAAACUUUGAAGCCAUAUUGUCCUGGCUUGAGGAACAAAGAAGAACAACAUCCAAUGGUAACACUGUCAGUCUGAAGGUGACUGUAGGCCUACCUUUAUUCUGAACAAUAAAGUACAUUUAAAUCCUCAGACGUCUUUGAAUAACAUAUUCUUACAACCUGUCCUUCAUAACAAAUAGAUUUAGAAAACAAUGUUGAUUCAUGGUGUAUAUUUAAUUCCAUUAUUAUGUUAUUUAAAGGGGACAUAUUAUGAAAACUAGCCAAAUCUAUCCGGCAUGUCUAUGUAACCGGUGUAACUUCUGCGUUGUGUAUUAAUAUAUGUGACUCGUACAACAGUUGCUGAGAUGGAUAUUUAUUUCGUAUCACUCCUGUUAAAGCACACCAACAGAAACAGUAUGGUAAGUCUCCACUGUUAAUGCUCAUUCCCAGCAUAUCUCAAACAGGCCAAAAUAAGAACAGGCAUGUAAUAUAUACAUUAAGAAAGAUAAGUAAAAACCGUAUCACACCUGUUAAAGCACAGCAACAGAAACAGUAUGGUAAGUCUCCACUGUUAAUGCUAGCCCCCACAUGUAGCAAAAGGAUAAAACAUAUAAAGAAUAGGUCAGAGAGAUAUUUCCUGAAAAUAUGUGCUUGUGAUAUCAAAAUAAAAGAUCAAAAAGAAACUGAAAUACAGGUAACAGACUAUCUUGUGCAAUUAUUUCAAACCGCAUUUCUAACCUGUUACAACACAAAAAACGCUGGAAAAAACAACCCAGGCAGUUUGUUAUAGUUUCUCUAUGUCAGAAACGAUACACUUUAUACAGAACAUUCCAUUCCUUCCCACAAAGCCAUUUAGCUCCUAUUAUUAUGUUACAAUGGCAACAAUGUCCUUUCACAUUCAGACCUACUGAGAAUGGCACAGCUCUGUAGCUUCUUCUCGGUACUUCUGCAAUUAAGUUGACAGAGAAAAGUGUUAAAAAACAUACAAAUAAAUGAUAAAAUGAUAAAAUACAUAACUCACGUGUUGAAUGUGCAUUCCUAACAUUUUACAGGAUGAUAUUUCAAAUCCUGAACUGCUGGAUGUACAGAUUCCGCAGUGGGAAAAGUGCUUCAUGUUUUGUAAAUGCCCUGUUAUGUGUUUUAUGAUGAUGGUAAACAUUUCUGAGUUGUUAUGUUUGUUUUCCAAAAACGGCAAUAAAAAAGUAUCCCUAAGACUAGCUCACUAGUCAACGAGUGAAAGCCAGUCCGAAAACUACUCUUUUUCUGUCUCUUGCUUGGUUAUAUACGCCCUCUUUUUCUCCUCUUAUCCUCCGACAACGUCUUCCUCAUUUUUUUUGUGGUCUCUGCCAUGCUGUCCAUACAGAGAAUACUGCGCCCACUUCCUCUUAUAGCUAGCAGAAGGGUCUAGUCUACAAGGCAUGUAACUGUGUGGAUGUGUACAAGGCUCAUUGAACAUGGACCAUUUUCAUGCUCACUCCUUGCUCCUUGUAGUGGCCCUUCCACAGGCAUUCUGUGUCUGUAGAAAAUGCAUCACUGUCUGAUGUAAAAACAGGAAUGUCUCAUGAACACCUGUUCUACACAAAUCAUGUUUAAUGCCUUUUUUUAAACCGAACGACUGCAAUACGGACAAUACUGUAAACACAUACAGACAUACAUCCCACAUUUGGCACUGAUACACAGUACACCAGCAGC